GUAGGCUGCUGUCUGACCUUGAAGAUUAGUCACACAAAAUAAACACUUGUCAAAGUUCAAGGGACAGAGUGAGCAUUAGUAAGAAGAAGUAAUGUGAAGUGAAGUGAAGUUGGUGUAAAUAAAUGCAAUUUUUAUUUUAUGUAUUAAAUUUGCUCUUCGAGGUUUUUUCAUAUCAAAGUAUUAAUAGAUAAACAAAUUCCGGGAAAACCUCGGGCUUCUAGUCCACAGAAACGAAACAAACACGCGAAACCUGCAAACGAGAUACGGAGGAAAAAAAGAAAAGUAAGCAAUAUUAACAAUGAGGAAGAGGGAAACAAUGUGGAAGAAAUACUAAACAUGUCUGUAGUUGAACGGUUAUCAAGCAGAGGCAAUACGUCUUCUUCGGAAUCAAAUAUCGUGCGUCGUUAUACCAAAGAAAGGAAGACAACGGUAAAUUGUUCAUAUCUGAUGAGGAAAGCCUUCCAGAUCUAAUAGUUGAAAACGUUCCUUCGUGUGCCCCUAUAUUAAAAGGAAACAGAAUCGUAGACAUAGAAGAUUUUGUAAAAGAAAUGAGAGUAGUCUACGAGCACCCAAACAUUUGCACACUAGGACGUUUUGAGCAGGUAGUAAACAUUUUAAUUAACUAUUUUUUUGCCAAAUUUGCAGAAAAAAGUUUUUGUAAGUGUUGGAAUCUCAGUUGUUUAGGCACCUAUCAAUAAACUACCGUUUUUUUGUUGUAAGUACAUCUAUCUGAAAAUUUUCAUGAUUAAAUGAUUAAAUAUACACUUUUACAAGCAAGCUUAUGUUUAUAUAUAUUUUUUUCUAAAUCACCGUCGCAUUUAAUCAGUUUUCUUGUAUUCUGAUUUCUAACUAAGACUUAGUUCUCGUAGCACAGCUGCCUUUUUGAUUGUUCUUCAAAAUGUGCUUCCUUUUUGUUUUUGGUGCUUCCGAAAUGUGCUGCUUUCUUGUUGAUGGUGCUUCCAAAUGUGCUGCCUUUUUGAUUGUGAUUCCAAAAUGUGCUGACUUUUUAAUGAUGGUGCUUCCAAAAUGUGCUGCCUUUUCGUUGACGGUGCUUCCAAAAUGUGCUACUAUUUUUAAUGUGCUUCCAAAAUGAGAUGCCUUUUUGUUUGUGCUUCUAAAAUGUAAUGCCUUUUUGAUUGUGCUUCCAAAAUGUGCUGACUUUUUAUAUGGUGCUUCCAAAAUGUGCUGCCUUUUUGUUGAUGGUGCUUCAUUUUUGUUGUUGGUGCUUCCAAAAUGUGCUGCAUUUUUGAUUGUGCUUUCAAAUGACCUACGUUUUUUAUGGGAUUCUUGGUCCUCUUGUAAGCAUAAACAUGUUACGUUAGUUUAAUUGAAAAUAAUAAGCUGUCGAUGAAGAAGGUCGUGAGGUUCUGAAAUGACUGGUCUAUACGUCUGACAUUUUUAAUGACCCGGUCUCGUGGUCCGAAGACGAUUGGUCUAUAUGUAUGUAUGGCUUUGUACAUGAACGUUUGAGAGGUUAUUCUAAGUAUCGAAAAACUAGACUUUCAUGUUAGGCUUAUCGGAAACGUAUUCAUUUCGUCGGACAUUGUCGUAUAUUGUAUUGAGUUGUUUUUCGUAGAGUGAAUGAUUGAUAAACUCCGCGAAAGGUAAUGGAAAACAGAAUAUAAAAUUUAUUUAAUAUUUAGUUACACUUUUCACUGGUCAAGAAGCAAACCAAGGACAGGAAUCCAUCGAUUCAAUAUGUAAAUUAAUGAGUGAAUUUUUUCGGUGUAUUUUGGAAUGUUUUCCCGAAUUUAUAGGUCAAUAAAUAUAAAUUUUCAAGAUAGCGGUCAUAAUAGCUUACUGGAGGCUGGUAGUAGAGGAUUUUAAGCCUCUUUUAGGAUUUUGAACGUGAUUUAUUGAAGAUAUUAUUUUUUUAUUUAAAAUUUUUUUUGCAUUGAUCAGGGAUUGAACUAAGAACAAGAUUCGAUAGUAUCAAUAAGUAUAUUAAUUGCAAAAUUAUUUAAUGAAUUUUUGAAUUUUUCUCGAAUUUCUAGCUAAAUAAUUACACGAUUCCAAGAUGGAGCCCAAAGGUCAAGAUGGCGGGUGCGACGAUAAUAAUAAAUAAUUAUAGCACUCUAGUGGGUAAGAAUUAAACUAACAUGAUAGAGGCAUAGUCUAGCGGACGGAAACAAGAUGCUGACUUCCAGCGGGCGAAGAGAUGAUGGCGGACAUGAUGUCGUACCAUCUGACGAUAUAUAUACUUUGACUUAAGUAGUGAGAGGUCAGUCUGAGGACGGCUUCUGUGGAAGGAUCUAUCGACUUUAUUAUUAUUAUUUUUUGCUCUUACUGGGUUCGAACCAGAGACAUAAAUGCGUUUUUAAAUAAUUUUAUUAAAUUUUUGUUAGUUAAUUUUUUUUAUGAAAUUAAUUUUUUUCCAUUAAAGUUGAAUGAUAAAUAAAGAUUUUCAAGAUGGCGACCAUAGCGAAAAUUGCAAUGUACUAGAAUCCAAUAUGCUAACCAUAACGAAAAGUGAAACGAUGACAUCAUAGUCAUCCAAGAUGACGGACAUAACGAAUCAAGCAAUGUUUCUGGAAUGCAAGAUGGCAUCCGUAACGUAAAUUGCAACAGUGACGACACAAUUAAAAACGACAGGUGUGGCGUAAAACAUUUUUGUUACUUUUUAUAUAUAAUUUUUUAAAUAUAUUAAUAAAUAACUGGUUUACUCUCGUCGGGAAUCGAACUGAGGACCGAAAACAAUUAAGUAACUAAACAUUUGUAGUAUGCUAUUUUUAAAAUAUUUUUUUUGGAAUUUUUUUGGAAUUAUUAGCAUUAAAAUUACGGAUUUUCAAGAUGGUGGCCGUAACGCGAAUUGCAACAGUUGUGACUUAAUACAAGAUGGCGGUUCUGUCUCGUAUAGGUGAUGCUAUUAUUACUUAAAAUUUUUGAAAAAAUUCUAAGUCCGAAUAUGCAUGUUAUUUUUAUAUAUACCUUAUUUAAUUAUCAGUCUGGUAAAUGUAUGUUUUCCAUCCUAGAGGUCAGAGCGGCGAUGGUUCGAAUCACAGUGCUUCCAAUGUAUUUUGCAUAAAAAAAUUAAUUUUAAUAUGUCGAUAAGGACCAUAAUAGCUCUGGUAGGUAAUGGAACAUCGACCUUAUGUGAUGAGACAGAGCGACGCUGGUGCUCUCUAGGAACCAACAGCAGAAACAGAGUCGACGGUAUCCAAGAUGGCGGCCUCCAGCGGAACAGAAAAAAAUCAAUAUGGCGGCCGUGAAGAAAAUUUCAUCAUGAGUGAGUGGGGCACUCGAUUUAAAGAUGGUGGAUACAAUAUGGCGGAUACAAUAUGGCUUCCGGGUCAAGGUCAAGGUCAAAGGUCAAAUCAAAGCCAUCCAAGAUGGCCGCCAUGACGUCACAAUCCAAAAUGGCGGUUCGGCUCAUCUGCUUCACAGCCUUAAAGCCUGCGCUCGGACAUACGAAAACAUGCUACUUAUAAUUUUGUUUUCUAAGUUUUUUAGACACAUAAGGAUAUCUAUUCCCAUUUUUAAAUUAUAAAUAACAAAUUAUAAUCAAGCAACUUUUUUAAUAAAGAUGUUAUUUUCAACACACAUUUAGGAUUUAUUGUUUUACGCCCCAGAAUUUAGUGAAUAUGUCACAACUGCAGGAAAAUCAAAAUGCGGACAGAGAUUUGCCAUCGCACUAUCUUGUGUUGCUCGUUAAAAAAAUGGUUCGCAUCUGAAUUGGCAUCACUUCCUUCUCAGCAAGACAUGUUUAUUUUUUGCGAACCUUCUUACGAAACACCAUUCUGAGUAAAUUCCGUAUGUCACAAUAGGAGGUUUCGCACAGGCUCCGAUGAAAUCUUUCCAUAAUACACGUAGCUGUGGAUGUUUUUUUUUGGCGUAACCUGUCACCGAAUACUUCACUCACUAGUCAAAAAUAUUCUUUUAUGCAACUUGCAAACUUAUUUAUUGCGGAAAUUAGUACUUUUAUAUAUUUACAAAUAUUUUUACAGAAUUUACAUGUUUUGCGGUAUUCAGAAUCGUUCUGAAUACUUAAAACGUUACCUUUUGUUACUAAGAGCAUCAACGAUCAUCUAACUGGCUAAAAUUUUUCCCUUGCAAGAAAUCUUCCUUAGGAAAUAGUGUACGACCAAAAUCAAUAACAUCCAUGAAAACGACCAAUGGACAACUGAAACAUGUACACAACAUUCCAUUAAAACGAUCAUAGAAACUUGCAAUGAAGAAUUCUUUCGUAGCAUACUCAGGAACGUGGCAACCUGCAAUACGUAUUCAAGAUGUAGUUUUGGACAUGAGCCAUUACUGAAUCGGACUUACCGAUUGCAAGAACCAUUCAAAGACCGCAAUGUGUAGCUGCUAAACCACCAGAAAGCACACCUAUGCGCUUUAAAAAUAAGCUCACAGAUAACCAUUUAUCUCUUGCGGACUGGAUAUCGCAAUGAACUCCAUAAUAAAAAUAAA